ACAACCAAAUAGAAGCACAAAACAAUCUCUUUCUUCUCCACCAGAUCCACCCCAAAUCCGCCAGAACACCACCAAAACAGACCCACCACGAGCUCACAGCCACCCAUCACAACCCAUGUUCCCCUUCUUGCUCGCUACCCCCAGAUCAACGAACAGCAAAAAAAUAAAGUACCACUACAAACCAGUCCUCAAACAGAAGCUCCGCCACUCCAAAACAACCCAUUUUCCCCUUCUUGCUCGCUACCCCCAGACCAACGAACAACAAAAAAAUAAAGUACCACUACAAACCAGUCCUCAAACAGCAGCUCCACCACUCCAAAAUAACCAGAAAAUGCCAUUUCCGGCAAGGAGCACGAAGCUCGAACAACAGCAACCAAGCACGACUCCAUCGUGAUUCCAACACCGGCGAACUCCCAAUUUCCAGUGAGCCAUCAGACUAACCAGACCCACAUCGAAACCCAUUGCAAACAUCUGUUCAAACCAGAAAUGCAACAACUCAAACUCCGAUACACGGAGCUACUUCCCAUUGAAGCUAUUCGAACCGAGUUCGAAUUAUAAUUUUUAUUUAUUAUUGUAUAUAUUUAUUGUCGUUAAGCAAACUUAUGCCUUUUCUUAUUAUUAUUUUAUUUGUUUAUUAUAUUUUUAUAUUUGUUUUU